rnacentral:rRNA from 1 species
GACGAACGCUGGCGGCGUGCUUAACACAUGCAAGUCGAGCGGUAAGGCUCCUUCGGGAGUACACGAGCGGCGAACGGGUGAGUAACACGUGAGUAAUCUGCCCUUCACUUCGGGAUAACCACCGGAAACGGUGGCUAAUACCGAAUACGACCAGUCUUCGCAUGAGGUGCUGGUGGAAAGUCUUUUCGGUGAAGGAUGUGCUCGCGGCCUAUCAGCUUGUUGGUGGGGUAAUGGCCUACCAAGGCUUCGACGGGUAGCCGGCCUGAGAGGGUGACCGGCCACACUGGGACUGAGACACGGCCCAGACUCCUACGGGAGGCAGCAGUGGGGAAUGUUGGACAAUGGGCGAAAGCCUGAUCCAGCAACGCCGCGUGAGGGAUGACGGCCUUCGGGUUGUAAACCUCUUUCAGUACAGACGAAGCGCCCUGUCGGGUGGUGACGGUAGGUACAGAAGAAGGACCGGCCAACUACGUG